ensembl:lncRNA
GUUGGGGUGUCGUGGCGGCGACGUUUAAAUCUGAAUAUUCGUGGCAUCAGUGUCUUCACGAUUUCCAGGACGAGUCUUUGGUCAGACGGGGUUUUGACCUUAAAUUCACCAAGAGUGUGUGGAGUGCAGUGGGUGAGUCUUUGUCCUUUGCUGUGAGUGUAUACACUUGAAAAUUGCAGUGUUGUGUCGUCAACAACCACCUUUCAGGCCCGACGAAAUCCUGUGAAGGAAGUGAGUACCGAGGCGGGCGAAGAAAACAUCUCCAAUUAUAUGCCGUCGAUGACAUCCUGACCCUUCUUCCCCACGUGACGGUGGUGGGAAACAAUUUCAAAAAGAAGAGGGAAGCGUUCGACCCAUCCAGUGUAGUACACCCUGGGUGAAACAACUUACCUGUGUGUGACGCCAGCGGAGGCCGUGUUCGGCCCAACGCAACAGUAGUUUUCGAUCCGCCUCUCUAUCAGCAGUUGGUAGAAGCCUCAGAAAAGGAAUGUCUGACGUCUAUUCCCUUGAAGAUCUAGCGGGUCCCAUUGAAGCGUCUACCUGCAUGUCGACUCGUCACUCAGGAUACAGAGACCGCGGAAACCCCCUCCCGUACACUUACCAGUACGGUUUUAGUUGGAUCCCGGCAGCCCUUGUGCAGUUCCACCAGCAUCUGGACGACCGGGAGUACAACCCGCUGGGCCGCCUCGGAGUUCGUCAAAAGUAGCAGCAGGUAUCCAUUGUGCAUCCGAACUCUCAAUACUUACCACUUGUAUCUGUUACGUCCAGGAAAGGAGAGGGCCCUGGACAGUCGUCCUGCAAGCCAGAACAAAGGGGCACUUGUGAAUAAGCUGAUUGUCGUCACAUAGCCAGAAGGAAAGAGGAGUGAAGGACUCACCUGAGAUCUCCCGUGACGGAGUCUAAGAGACUCGAGACUGUUACUCUCCAAAAGGAGAGUUGGAUUUUAGCCUCCCUUCCCC